rnacentral:lncRNA from 1 species
AGCCAGCUGCUCCUGGCUCCCCCGGCACGCCUCGGCCUUCCGUGCCCCUGGAGAUCGGGGCGUUCCGCGGGCCGCGCACCGGAUUGCGAAGGUCAGAGAGGACGCAGCUGUGGGGCGCGAGGUCCCUGUGCAGUGGACCGAGUGCUGGACUCGGAGUCGGAGUGUGGGGGCGAGCUCUCUGGGGUCACCCACUUAGUAGAGUUCCCGGGCGUCUGCCGGGGGAUACAGGGUGCAAGCAAGACCAUCGCACCCACUCUGGGCCUGAGACUCGGACUCCAGCAGCAAUCCCCAACUCUAGAAAGAAGUCAAAGCAGCUUGCUUGCAGCAGCCGGGAGUGGGAGGUGGCUGCUCCUUCCGGCUUCGAGGAUCCUUUAAGGAAAAACGGCAGUUUCUCCAGGCAGAAAGGGGUAGAACGGUGCCCCUGGCAGAGGGAAGAACAAGAGUAAAUGCUCAGCGGUGUGGGCUCCGCCCCCUGGAGAGGGGAGUAGGUCUGUGAGUCUCAGAGAGGCGUAGGGGCCGCCAGAUGAUGAGGGGCACCGCUGGGACGCUCUGGAAACGUUUUACGAGGGUAGAUCGUGGUUAUGUGCCUUUUUUUGUUUGUUUGUUUUUUGAGACAUAUUCUUGCUCUGUCACCCAGGCUGGAGUGCAGUGGCGCGAACACGGCUCACUGCCGCCUGGAACUCCUGGGCUCAAGGGAUCCUCC